UCUUCUGGCAAAGAAAUAACAAGGGAUAAUCUAAAGUGCUCUAAGCCACCAUCAGGAAGAAGAAUUAUUAUCUUUUCUUUUUACAAGAAAAAAGAACCUACAUUUAAGCUAAUAUUGACAGAUCUCUGCAGACCAGAAGAGAAACAAUCCCGCAGCCUCAGCAAAGCAAAGAGAUCAGUCUCUGACAUCCUUUCAGAGACCAGCUGCUGGUGAAAGAGAGCGGAGGAGCAGCGAGGCAGAGGAGCAGGCGUGUGCAGUGGAUAUUCCUGGAACCCAGCUGCCUGAAGGAUCUUCUCCUUAUCUCUCAUUUCCACUGAAGUCAUAAGCAUUGUGUUCUUGGAAGGAGUACCCUUGGGUUGGUUUGGGCAGCAUCAGGAAUGACUUGGCAGAACUACAGGAAGCAGAACAAGUUUACUACCAGCCAACCUGUGAUGGACAAAGUAGACAUCAGGCACCUGAAGACAUGUAGUUUUAUAAGAGCCUAUGUUAGGCCACACUUUUAGUUUGUACUGAGUUUCACUGACAUCUUCUAAAGUAUGGUUUUGUGGGGCUAGCACGCAUUUCACACCCUUUGCCCCUGUGGCUGGGAACUGUGCUGGUACUUUGAAGUUUUUUUCCAAGACGAUGGUAACAAAUAGAGGAUUCCUCACACUGGUUCAGGAGAUAUGACAAGUGAGAAUUGUCGGCUGGGAUGAAACUUUAUUUGCGGUCUGGUUCUAGAUCCAGACAGAUGUAAGUCUACUUGUUAGGGUAAUUCAAUUAAACUGUGGGGUUGCUACUAUUUUGUUUCUUAUUCUACAAUCUGUGUCUCUGGUGUUAGUCUCACACGUUAUUCACACUUUGAUUUCAAUUUGACUAAAGUCUUAAGGACAAAAGUCGUGCUUACUGAAAGGCUGUUCAAUCUCCAGGAUGAUGUAACCCUGCUCCUGACUCAAGCGCAGCUUGUUGCUAUUCUAACACAGAUGACAGUAUCAGUCUAGCAUGUUUGUAAAACAUGUCUCUAGGGCUCGAUCCAGAGGUGGUCAGUCCACACAAUUUCUGCUGAGACUGGUGGUGUUGGUAUGCUGUAGAGUGUGCUCUGUUACCUGAAGUAUCUAAUUCCAAGAUGUACUUCUGAAUAACCACUCCAGCACCUUGGGUUGUUUCAACAUGUACACUAUUCACUUAUCUGAAUACUUCAAAACAGGGCAAAUGAAGAAAGUAAAGUAUCAAACACAUGGGAUCCAGAGAUCUACACAUACCCAGGAGAACAGACUUUGAAUUUGGCUGGACAAAGACAAGCUGUGUGGAAAGAGAAAAUAUAGUUUCAUAUUGUCUUUGAUUUCUGGAAGAACAUGUCCUGUUGUUUAUCUGUUCAAACACUGCUGAAUAUGGAUGUACAUAUUUGGCAUUAAUAAAGGCCACUAAUCUGAGACAUGAGACAAAUUCUGUUUGCAAAUUGGCAGCUGAUUUCCUAUGCUAUAUUCUUCAGCAAGUCAUCUCACUUUCUUCACUUCCUUGUAUCCCUUUCUCCACGUUUUUGCUUUUGCUUUUUGCUUUAUGGAGCAUGAUCUGUCUCUCAGUAUGUAUCUAAUAUUAGACUCACUAUGAGUCUAAUAUUGGGUGGGGAAUGCUGAAGUAAUAGAAGUUAUUAUCCAUAACAGUGAAGCUAGUAAGAUGCUGAAAUGACUUACUUGGUCAGGGACAGAAUGCUGGUUUUAGGCAAACUCAUGAGACUUUCAGGCCUCGCCUGAUUUAGAUGAGUCUCUUACUGAAGAAUCUGAAUUGGUCAGUAAGCAUUCUCAUUGUCUCCAUUUUCUUUUUAAAGCUGCAAAAUUCAGCAAGCAGUAACAAUCAUUUUAGUGCUUCUUACAAUUUCGAUCAUGGAGUACUUGUUCAGCAGUAGAUUUUAAUAUGUCUUUCCAGAAAGCAAACUUAGGAAAGUGGCUGUAAUAGAUUUAAUUCCUUUUUUCUCCUAACGAGACUAACAGCACAGCUGCUGCAGACACUGGACAACUGCAGUUAAUAAAAUGAGCAUAUAUUGUUCAUAUUCCACUAGAGGCUGCUGUUUAGUUAGCAUUGAAAAUCUCCUCAUGCCUUCUGCCAAGCAGCUGAAAGGAUGUGGAGAGAAGGGGCAAAGUCCUGAGGCGGUGAACAAGCCACUUUUUAAAAAUAAUACUUUUGGAGAUGCAUGUUCUUCUGCCGUAUACUUUCUUUUUUGAAUACAUAGUCAGUGUCUGCUCAGUUUUUCAUGUCUAUUGCAGUUAAAAACACACUGACAGCAUUUGUAUAUUAUGAGUUUGUCCAGAAAUUCAAAAAAUAAACUAUGGCAUGCUUUCUUUCUGUAACAAGAUUUUAUUCAUUAUAGGAAAAAAAUAUAUUAUACAUCUGUAAAUCUAUGAAAUGAAUCUCACAAGUUAAGCUCUUUAGUAUUUUUAUGAAGCCAUUACAGUAUUUAUUACAAAAUGAAUAGAAGGAAGCCAGGCAGCAAGCUUAUGUACAUAAUGUAGGUCUUCCAUCUUGAUUAUUACUUUUCUUCCCCCACAGUGAAUCAUAUUAUAUAUGUGCAGUUGUGUUUAUAUAUAUUUACACAUUCUUCUCUUAGGGACACUUCUCUCUGAGACAUUUUGUGUAGGUCAAUCAAGCAAAGGACUUCCCUGGCUCUGGGCACAGAGACCCAGCUACCACUCUGAGACCCAGCUAACUGUCCUUGUAUGUAUGAUCUGUAUGUCUCCCAUGGCUUUAAAAAAAUCAGUAAUUUUUCUCCAAUAUAUGAACAAAGCAGGUCUAUACUGAUAUUCUCACAAAAACUGAUUUUCAAACAAAAAUUUUCUCAGUAUCAAUUUUUCUAGGGUAAUUUGACCGUUUAUAGCGAAUUCUAGACAAAGGUAUACAUUAACACAUCCAUGUAACAAUACUAAAAACUUACACCUUCUAAAAAGAAAUCCUGAUUAAAACCCUGACUUUCUCUUUUGGUUCAUAAAUUGCUUUUGUGAAACUGAAUUCAGAAUUUCUCUGUUAUCCCUAAGAAUGUUGUUUUGUGUCCUUGCAAUGACACAAACCUCCUCAGUAAAUAAAAACAUAGGUCAGGAUCUAGGCAUGAUGGCAACAGAAUCUGUAGAAAAAGAUCAUAUUUAAGCCACUUAAUGCAAUUUUUGAGCCAAUGUUCUGUUGUGUUGAUCCCAUUGUUUCUUUCAGGGGUCAGACUGUGACCAUGAUGGCCUUUGUAGACUGACUUACAUCCUGCUACUGAUUAGGGAAAUUCAUUACUUCUAAAGUUAUCUCUGUCUGUUCCAGUUUGCUGAAGACCUCUGUCUAGAAUUGCACUAUCAUGUUUUUAAGACAGCUUGAAUUUUGUAGUUUUUAAACUACUGUUCCUUACACUAUCUGGAUGCUAGAUAGUAUCCUUAGUCCUU